ensembl:misc_RNA Metazoa_SRP Metazoan signal recognition particle RNA
UCCAGGCACAGUGGCACAUUUCUAUAGUUCCAGGUACUUGGGAGGCUGAAAGAGGAAGAUGGCUUGAGUCCAGGAGUUCUGAGCUGUAGUGUACUAUGCCAAUUAGGUGUCCUCAAUAAGUUCGGCAUCAAUAUAGUGAACUUCCCAGGAGCAGAGGACCAACAGAUUGCCUAAGGAGGGGUGAACCGGCCUAGGUCGGAAACAGAGCUGGUCAAAAACUCCCGUGCUGAUCCGUUUUACUUAAUUAAUAUUGUACACUUAUUACUUUUCUGGUUUUUAUAGUUCAAUUUAUUUAU